UAUAUAUGUAAAAAUAAAUGAAGCAUUCAAACUUUGAAGUCAAAGUAUUAUUUACUGACUAAAAUCAAACAAAUUCAAAAAUUAGAUCGUAAAAUCAAAAUUUUGAAAGAUUAGAUUGUCGAUUAAAAAUAGUUCAUUUUACUGAGUUGACUAUAUGAGUCUCAGCAGAAGAUGCACUACAACAAAUCUUACACUUAAGGAUAUUUUAAAUAAUAACUAGCAACGCUUUAAAGCAUCGGCAAGAAUAAUCCCGACGCUUGUAAAAGUGUCGAGCAAAGAAUCAUUAAGUAAACAUGUUGGGAUAAAUAUACCGACACUUUAAUAUAGUGUCGAAAAAUUUUAUCGGUAUUUGCUGGUGCCGUUUAAUCAUAGUGUCGACACAUGCCAAAUAUUAAAGACACUAGAAUAAAGUAUCGUCUAAAAAGUGUCAUCUAAAAUAUAUUUUGUUGUAGUGUGAGAUGCACUAUAUU
rnacentral:lncRNA from 1 species